rfam:Schistosoma rodhaini strain Burundi genome assembly, scaffold: SROB_scaffold0006054
AUCCAGCUGACGAGUCCCAAAUAGGACGAAACGCGCGUCAAAAUGGAU